CCUUCGGGAACUCAGACACAGGUGCUGCAUGGCUGUCGUCAGCUCGUGUCGUGAGAUGUUGGGUUAAGUCCCGUAACGAGCGUCAACCCUUGUCCUUAGUUACCAGCACGUAAUGGUGGGCACUCUAAGGAGGACUGCCGGUGACGAAACCGGAGGAAGGUGGGAUGACGUCAAGGUCAUCAUGGCCCUUACGGCCAGGGCUACACACGGUGCUACAAUGGUCGGUACAAAGGGUUGCCAAGCCGCGAGGUGGAGCUAAGUCCCAUAAAGCCUGGCCUCAGUUCAGAUUGCAGGCUGCAACUCGCCUGCAUGAAGUUGGAGUUGCUAGUAACCGCGCGUCAGCCAUAGUGCGGUGAAUACGUUCCCGGGCCUU
rnacentral:rRNA from 1 species